rnacentral:lncRNA from 1 species
UCUAGAUUUCACGAUUUCAAUAUGUGUUAAUAGCAUUUCUUGCCUUACCACAAAUUUUUAUAAUUGGGCAGUGUUUCAAUCAUUUUCUAUUUAUUAUAUAUUUGUUUCCUGAUUCUCACAUUGAUCCAAUUAUAAAAAUAGAAGAAAACUUCAUAAUCACACAGAAAAAACAAACAUUCUAUAUUUUUUAAAUCUGUCUGUAACACCAUUCGAAACAGAGAAUAAGCCAGAUUUUAUCUGUGAUGGACCUCAGAGUUCCAAACACGUAUUCAUCACAUAUGACUCAUACGCCACCGGUAGUCAUCAUCGAUCCAGAAUGUGUCCUAUUUUUCUCUGGGCACUUUUACCUUGUCUAAUGAUUAAUUCAUUAAUUUGCUAAUAGUAAUUUGAAAACCUUUGGUUCACAAACGCCUCAGAACAGCAUUAAUAUUAAUAUUCUUUAUCUGCAUAUAGAAUCAUUCUCACACUGAUAAAUGUUUCAUUAAUUAUCCUCAGUUUUUCAAACAUGUAUUGUUAAUAUAACGCUUCAUAUCACUCCCAUUUCUAUCACUGGGCUGCAGCUGGCCAUUUUUGAUUACAGUGCAGACUUUUUAAUAAUACAUCAAAUCCUCCUAACCCAACCACCCAAACUAAGACCAGAACUUGAUUACUCACGUAGGUCUGCGUGCUCCCAAUCAAGAGGCAGACACAGCAUGUCACCAGGGAGGAAUCCUUCCAUCAGCACAAGCCAUCUAUUCUGAGGAAUACAAAGCAGAGACGAAAAAGAACAAUUUGAUCUUGCAAGUGAAUAAGAAUUUGAACAUUAUCUGUAAUUUAUUCUGUCUACAUUAUUAUAAGCCAAAGAAGUAACAGAGGGAACACAACAAUCUUGAUCCCAACAGAAUGAUUCAAAGAGCUUGUUGCAUCCAUUCUGAAGAGUAGAAAGCACAGAAAAACAUUGAGAUGUUCUCUCCAUUGAUCCACGUUGUCUACCAUUUGUUAACACUGCCUUUUAGGCUUUUAUUAAUUUAUGCUAAUAUUUAUAUAUUUUGCAAGUAAUAAACUUCAAAACUUGCAACUGAAUGAGAGCAAGAACUGUUACCUAUUACAGUCUAUGUCAUCCUUAGUCCAAGACAUAAUAUCCUUGAUCAAUUUAUUACCC